rnacentral:rRNA from 1 species
UACGAAGGGGGCUAGCGUUGUUCGGAUUUACUGGGCGUAAAGCGCGUGUAGGCGGACUUGUAAGUUGGGGGUGAAAUCCCGAGGCUCAACCUCGGAACUGCCUCCAAAACUACAAGUCUGGAGCAAGAUAGAGGCAAGUGGAAUUGCGAGUGUAGAGGUGAAAUUCGUAGAUAUUGGGAAGAACACCGGUGGCGAAGGCGGCUCACUGGCUCGUUUCUGACGCUCAGGCGCGACAGCGUGGGGAUCAAACAGG